GCUCUUCCUUACUUACAACUCAGGUCCUUUGUUAUGCCUCUAGGCAACGGCCUUGUUUAUCACAGGGACCUUGUCCAGAGCACAUUACUUUUAAACGCUAUGGGCAGAGCGUGUAUAUUACUAAAUUUAAUUCUUACCCAGGAAAAUAUAAUGUCAGUCCCCUAUACCCAUGAAACCAAUUCCCUGUGAAGAAUAUAGAAUCUUCCUUCUGAAGAAUCUAUAAUGAUUUGUUUUCCUAACUGAAUCCUGACUUGCCACUACAGAGAGCCUUGAGAAUGAAACCAACUCAAGUAGCCAAGAAACAGCAGUAUCUAAAGCUACCACUUGGACCUCUGAAUCCAGUCAUGCCUGAAAGCAUUCCUACCACCACCAUUUUUCCCUCAGAGCCUGAGGACCAAUCUUGGUGUUCCUGAUUCUCUUCCUUCCCCAGACUUGCGGGACCUGGCCUGGGCCUUCCUCAUCUCCAGCAUAGCCAGCCUCUGCCUCUGCGUAGCCCUAAUGAGCACCAUCUUCUUUACCAGCUCCAACCUGCCCAUGCUGGAUUUCUUCAGCAGCAGCAGCAGCAUCCUGACAGGCACAGCACUAAGAUCCUUUCCUUGGGAACUUCGCCCAGUGGCAAUCAUGAAACCCAACCCCAUCCCCACCACACUCCAAUCCCAUCCCCAUCCUCACCUUCAUCCCAAAUCCUAAUCCUAUUUCCUUCCAAAUCUCUAACCCAUCCCAAUAAAAAAUAUCAACCUCCA